rnacentral:rRNA from 1 species
AUUGAACGCUAGCGGGAUGCUUUACACAUGCAAGUCGAACGAGUGGCGGACGGGUGAGUAAUAUAUCGGAACGUGCCCAGCAGCGGGGGAUAACUACUCGAAAGAGUGGCUAAUACCGCAUACAAGUGGAGCGGACGAUAUCGGAUUAGAUAGUUGGUGGGGUAAAGGCUCACCAAGGCAACGAUGCGUAGCGGGGUUGAGAGGACGACCAGCCACACUGGGACUGAUACACGGCCCAGACUCCUACGGGAGGCAGCAGAGGGGAAUUUGGGACUAUGGGGGAAACCCUGAUCCAGCCAUCCCGCGUGUAUGAUGAGGCCUUCGGGUUGUAGAUUACUUUUGGCAGAGAAGCGGUAUCUGCAGAAUAAGCACCGGCUAACUACGUGCCAGCCGCCGCGGUAAUAC